CAGUAGCCGCGGGAAUACAGAGGGUGCGAGCGUUAAUCGGAUUUACUGGGCGUAAAGCGUGCGUAGGCGGCUUUUUAAGUCGGAUGUGAAAUCCCUGAGCUUAACUUAGGAAUUGCAUUCGAUACUGGGAAGCUAGAGUAUGGGAGAGGAUGGUAGAAUUCCAGGUGUAGCGGUGAAAUGCGUAGAGAUCUGGAGGAAUACCGAUGGCGAAGGCAGCCAUCUGGCCUAAUACUGACGCUGAGGUACGAAAGCAUGGGGAGCAAACAGGAUUAGAUACCCGUGUAGUCCUUGUCUCUUAUAC
rnacentral:rRNA from 1 species